ensembl:lncRNA
CGGGGGCUGCGGAAAGCGGCUCCGUGCGGAGCCUCACCGCCCGCCGAACAUUGUCUUACGCUGCGGGGACGGCUCGGGGAAGGAGGCUCGGUUUGGUUCCAAGCCGACCGCAACCUGCCGGGCCGCUCGGCUGUGUAAUCGGUGUAGUAUGUACAACCGGAACGCGGUGCUGGAAGCGGUCCUCGGGCUUCUGCUGCGUUCCUGCCGAGCUCAGGUCCGUCGCGGGCUGUUCUGUGCGACCCAAACGCCCCGCAUAACGGCGCUUAGCGUUUAUACCGCCGGCAGACGUUUAAAACCGAGGAAACCACUUCGGUGUGGCCGGUGCUGCCGCAUCCUCUGUCGCCGUGAGGUGAGAUGGGGAGCUCCAGCCCGCAGCCCGCAGCCCGCAAUGCCCCGCGCAGCCCCACGCCGGGUGGCCCCACGGGGCACGUGGCCCUCCAGAAUGAUGCUCCUUCUGCUCCCCUACCCGCUGGCUGCACGCCCCCUGCCAAAGUUCCCGACUGCACUUUCCUCAUCUUUAAGUGUUUUGUGCCAUAACCCUGGGAAAUACUUACUCAAAGUGCUGGGAUGUUCUUGUAUCUCAUGCAUCGUGUUUCAUAGUAUCAACCAGCAAGGACAAGUCGCACUCAGAUGGCAUUUUUUUUUUGCUGCUAGCAAGCUGCAGUGCACAGUGCAUUUCAGCAUCAGCACGCAGACUGCCCAUAAGAGACCAAGAAUGCAGAGUCCAUGCUGACACGCUAUUUUUGACUCCUGCUUCAAGACGAAGAACUGCUGCACGGUGCAUAUGGGCUGUAAAAUCAAGGCAUGGUUUGGAACAUCCUGUCAGGAGACCAUAUGUGUUACGGCAUUUAAGAGCGGUUUGUUUUGCUCUCCAUAUGCCGACGGAACUGCUGCUAAGGUCACUAAAAACUUCGCAUUUGUCCAGGCAGUAAGAACACCUGAUGGGCUUUGUUCUGAAUUUCCCCCCCCCCUUUUUAUUCCUACCACUUAAAAAGCCCUUUUUCAUGGAUGACCUUGGUGAGCAGAUUGGAGAACAGACAGACCGGUCACUGCCCUUGGAAGCUUUGAUCAAAAGCAGUUAUGCAACCCCAUUUUUCCUCCGUAAAAGCAACGGAUGUAAAUGCAUCUCCCCACUCAUCCCAGGCACCACUGCUGUGGUAAACACUGGCUGCUGGCUCAGAGUUUGUGAUGACAUCUGAACGUCCCACUGAAAACAAAAAAAUACAUAGCAAACACAUUCUUACUGUAGGAUGAAUAUACAAAGAAUGAAGCACGGUAACCAAAUAAACUGUGAUAAUGAGAUAUAUCCUAUAGCCCUCUUCGUUUGCCAUCAUAACCUCGGAUCAGUUUGGCAUCCACGCAGUUGAGAAAUGAACAGAAAAUGGAAAGCUGUGCAUAUUUAGCAGGGAGUCUUGGAAGGAAAAGAACCACAGAUUUGAUCUGCUCAUCAUCAUGAGAUGGCAUGCGAUAGCUUUGAAGUCCACAGUGUGCAUUCACAACGCACGCCCUCCCAUCAGAAUUCCCAGUGUGCCAUUCAUUCAGACUGGGCCAUUUUUCAGUUCCCCUCAGCUGGGGACUGGGAAACAAUUCAUCUGCAGGGCAUUGCUGAAAUGGAGACGGAGCUGCCUUGGCCUCAGCGACGGGCUGCCUCUGUCAGGGGUGGAUGGCUGCAUUUUCAUUCAUAUCGUGAGCCAUAUUUUGAGACUUGCCAGGCCACAGGAGUUCCUUGCCAAACCACCACUAAAGACAAAGCUCAGGAGUGGAACUGCUGCCCUUGACCCAAGGUGCUGAAUGUAAUGUGCUGCCCUUGUUGCUACCUGUGAGCAAUAACGUGCUCUGAGGAGCAAUUACAGAAUGGGGCUGGGCUUUAAUUAAGGCACCAUUCACCAAGAUCACAUGGUCAUUGGAGAACAUGCCACUCAGGAUGUUUUGUAUUUAUAUAUAUAUAUAUAUAUAUAUAUACACAUAUAUAAUUUGUAUAAUUUGAACACUUGCUUAAUGACCUGAAUAAAUAUUUUUUCUGUAUAUCAAAUGUUGAAAAUAUGGUGGUUUUUUUCUUGCUUUCUUUUCCUCACUUCCUCACUUCCUU